UACAGAGGUCCCAAGCGUUGUUCGGAUUCACUGGGCGUAAAGGGUGCGUAGGUGGCCGGGUAAGUCUAAUGUGAAAUCUCCGAGCCUAACUCGGAAACUGCAUCGGAUACUAUCCGGCUAGAGGAAUGGAGGGGAGACUGGAAUACUUGGUGUAGCAGUGAAAUGCGUAGAUAUCAAGUGGAACACCAGUGGCGAAGGCGAGUCUCUGGACAUUUCCUGACGCUGAGGCACGAAAGCUAGGGGAGCAAACAGG
rnacentral:rRNA from 1 species